UACGGAGGGUGCGAGCGUUGUCCGGAAUCAUUGGGCGUAAAGGGCGCGUAGGUGGCCCGGUCAGUUCGUGGUGAAAGCGCGGGGCUCAACCCUGCGUCGGCCAUGAAUACUGCCGCGGCUGGAGCACUGUAGAGGCAGGCGGAAUUCCGGGGUGUAGCGGUGGAAUGCGUAGAGAUCGGGAAGAACAUCAGUGGCGAAGGCGGUCUGCUGGGCCGUUGCUGACGCUGAGGCGCGACAGCGUGGGGAGCAAACAGG
rnacentral:rRNA from 1 species